rfam:Culex pipiens quinquefasciatus supercont3.834 genomic scaffold, whole genome shotgun sequence.
UGAACGGUUCUUUUCAGGACCACCAAUACAAUCACGAAAGAGUUGU